rnacentral:rRNA from 1 species
UACAUGCAAGUCGAGCGAACGGACGAGAAGCUUGCUUCUCUGAUGUUAGCGGCGGACGGGUGAGUAACACGUGGAUAACCUACCUAUAAGACUGGGAUAACUUCGGGAAACCGGAGCUAAUACCGGAUAAUAUUUUGAACCGCAUGGUUCAAAAGUAAAAGACGGUCUUGCUGUCACUUAUAGAUGGAUCCGCGCUGCAUUAGCUAGUUGGUAAGGUAACGGCUUAUCAAGGCAACGAUGCAUAGCCGACCUGAGAGGGUGAUCGGCCACACUGGAACUGAGACACGGUCCAGACUCCUACGGGAGGCAGCAGUAGGGAAUCUUCCGCAAUGGGCGAAAGCCUGACGGAGCAACGCCGCGUGAGUGAUGAAGGUCUUCGGAUCGUAAAACUCUGUUAUUAGGGAAGAACAUAUGUGUAAGUAACUGUGCACAUCUUGACGGUACCUAAUCAGAAAGCCACGGCUAACUACGUGCCAGCAGCCGCGGUAAUACGUAGGUGGCAAGCGUUAUCCGGAAUUAUUGGGCGUAAAGCGCGCGUAGGCGGUUUUUUAAGUCUGAUGUGAAAGCCCACGGCUCAACCGUGGAGGGUCAUUGGAAACUGGAAAACUUGAGUGCAGAAGAGGAAAGUGGAAUUCCAUGUGUAGCGGUGAAAUGCGCAGAGAUAUGGAGGAACACCAGUGGCGAAGGCGACUUUCUGGUCUG